GACGAACGCUGGCGGCGUGCUUAACACAUGCUAGUCGAACGGAAAGGCCCAGCUUGCUGGGUACUCGAGUGGCGAACGGGUGAGUAACACGUGGGUGAUCUGCCCUGCACUCUGGGAUAAGCCGGGGAAACUGGGUCUAAUAACGGAUAUGAUCAACUGUCGCAUGGUGGUGGGGGGAAAGUUGUUGAGGAUUGGGAUGGGCCCGCGGCCUAUCCGCUUGUUGGUGGGGGAAUGGCCUACCAAGGCGACGACGGGUAGCCGACCUGAGAGGGGGAUCGGCCACACUGGGACUGCGACACGGCCCAGACUCCUACGGGAGGCAGCAGUGGGGAAUAUUGCACAAUGGGCGCAAGCCUGAUGCAGCGACGCCGCGUGAGGGAUGACGGCCUUCGGGUCGUAAACCUCUUUCACCAGGGACGAAGCGUGAGUGACGGUACCUGGAGAAGAAGCACCGGCCAACUACGUGCCAGCCGCCGCAGUAA
rnacentral:rRNA from 1 species